rnacentral:tRNA from 1 species
GCCCGGCUAGCUCAGUUGGUAGAGCAUGAGACUCUUAAUCUCAGGGUCGUGGGUUAGAGCCCUACACUGGGAG